ensembl:lncRNA
GUGAAGUUUCUCCCAGAUACUUUUUGUUUUUGGAAGUGAUGAAGCAUAGUAUAUCAAGGACAAAACUUGUAUUAAACUCCAAGUUCCCUGGGCAUCCAUGUUGCCUAUCUGCUGACUCACCCCCUGAUUCUGGCCUGGAGAGAAUCAGUUGGCUUUCCUGGAUGCCAACCUUAGGCAGAAGGAAGUUGAUUUGCACUAAAGAUGUCUUUCCAUGCAGUGAGGGUAUAAAUGACUUCAGCCAUUUGGAAGUGGGAAUUAUCCCUUCACUGUUUUAUUGAUAUAAUGCCUACAGAUAUGUGAGAUGUUUUACUGUUUGAGUUUAUAGAUAUACUUCAAGUUGAGUUGCUUGAAUGACCGACCAACCAUGCACCAAAGAGAAUCAUAGAAUCAUAGAAUCACUCAGGUUGGAAAAGACCUUAAAAAUCAUCUAGUCCAAUCACGACCUAACCACACUACCCUAACUCUAACAACAAGGAUAAAGAAAAAACAGGUUAAUGAAGUCAGAACAUCUCUAUCUAGAGACUGAGGUAAAAGAAACACAAACUGGAAUCAUAGAAUCAGAAUCGUUUGAACUGGAAGGGACCCUUUAAGGCCAUCUGGUCCAAACCUUCUGCAAUGAACAGGGAAACCCACAGUUUCAUCAGGUGCUCAGAGCCCCGUACAGACUGACCUUGAGUGUCUCCAGAGAUGGGGCAUCACCAUCUCUGGGCACCCUGUGCCAGUCCCUGAUCGCCCUUACUGUAAAUAACUUUUUCUUUAUAUUCAAUCUAAUUAUUCAAUCAUUAAGUCAAACUGAACACAAAUGCCCAUACUAUAUUUUUUAGUAUCUUUUAGAAGCUAUAUCUUUUUAGACAAAAGGAGUACAUCAGGAUCUGUACAAUAUGCUCGACUUGGGUUAUCCUUGAGUUUGUUAUCUGAAGUGCAUGCUUAAACUUCUACAGCGAAUCUGUUAAAUAGUAAUUGCUUUGGGAUACUCAGACUUGGAAACAUAUGCCAGGACGUGCAUCUCAGACUUGGCUUUCUACAAAUUACGUGUAAUUACAUUUUAAAUGGUGGGAAAGUAUUCAGCACGACUGUGAUAUGGCACCUGCAAUGCUGACUCCAAGUGAAUCACUGACAGAAACAGUAGAAAGCUACAGAUAGUCCUUCCAAGACUAUUUUACUUGAUUUGUUGGUUGGAAUUUUUAAUGCAGUGAUUUUUUUUUCUAGCACAGCAGUCCUUCUCCUGCCUUUCAAAGGAACUUAGAAAACUUCUUAUUGAAAAUAAUAAAACUUCUUAAUGCUUUGAAAAUAUAUUUUGUACCUCUGUAUCUGUUUCUCGGUCUCUUUUUUUUCCCCCAGGUUUUGCUGCCACUAGUUUCUUUUGCUUUCAAUGGAAGCUAUAUAUAUAUAUAAAAAUGGGAAAUAGAAAAAAAACAAAUGGAGAAGAAAGACUGUAUUUUUGCUUGAGAUAAUAAAUAAAUAAACAAAUAAAUAAACAAAGGGUGUGAAUAAAAAGAUGCUGAAAUACCACACUGAAAGAAGGGCAUUUUCAUUUUUACAGUUGUUUGUAAGGAGGAAAAACACAUUAAUUCCAGUGAACGACAGUCAUAUCCAAAAACAGCCUAAAACCAGUUGGUUACAAACCUCAGAAUCUGCUCGGGAAGUCAUAAACACACAUUCUCUCAAUCACACACAAACAACAGCAUCAGUAUUCCCUUAGAUGAGAUGCAUUUUGCAACCUGCUCUCUUCCACCUCCUGCUUUGAUGGUCUAUUUUGGUUCCUGACAAGACAUCUGUCUGGACAAUUUGUUCUUGAUUUUCUCUUUCUAGCACCUGCUCUGCAUUAAAAACUCAAACUCUACAAGCAAGCAUUCCAGAACCAGACAUGAAUAUAACUCGGAACUAAAAUGAACAUUCUGCUCCACUAACUUUCAUCCAUGGAUGAUGCCCUUUGUUUUUGAACACUGCCUUUAAUAGCUCCUGUUAAGGACGAAGCAGGUUUGAGUUUAGCUGUUACUGGAUCUUCGAACUAAAGGCUGUCAAGUUACCUGUUUGGAAACAGUUGGGCUUUUCAUUGACGUUGCUUUCUUGAAAAGUGCUUUCAGAGCUGUUUUCCACUCCAAAAAUGAAGAAGUAAAAUGUGGAAACAAAACGCUGGAGGACAACAUAAAACUCAGCAAGCUGUAAGUGGGUUCACAGGGUUUACUUCAUCACAUGCUCCAGACCAAGUGCUGCAGCACUGUGUUGCACUUGGCUUUAAGUUUGCAGUAGAGGGAACAAAGUGAUGCACUGAGAAAGAUUUCUGGACUAUAACAGCAGAUGUGCUUUCUGGUGACUUUCUCAAGAUAUUCAAAGUAAGUUCAAAGCCCAUUUUGUGCUGCACACAUCUGUAUAAUGACAGACACCUAAGGACAUCUGCACAGGACUGAAGGAUGUGACACGAGACCAACAGGAAACACAUGAUCAUCUAACUUUGUAACUGGAGACCUAGUGGGAUAACUUUGGUCAUCUAAAAUGUAAUUAGAUUUCUAUGACAAGACAGAUGAGUCAUUUCUGAGUAGAUGAAAACAUUGUUAUAGCUUGUGUUUUGUAGAUGGAGAGAAAAGGCCAAGGGAAAUGCCACAUCCAGCACAAGUAAUGAAUUUUCUGGUAAAGUCAGGUGUCAAAAGCAGAGCACUGGAGUCUCUCAGUUGUGGUUUGGCCAAGGUUUUGAGGCUGAAUUGUGUAUCCCAAACACAAAAAUUUGUACCCAGCUCACUGGCAAGAGAACCUCACUUCUACUCAGAAAAAAGGGUCAUGUUCAGUCUGGUUCUGUAAGUGCCUUAUGCCUCACCAUUGCUUCCUCUGUUAGUUGUGCAGGGAUCAGAGUGAGGGAAAUUGAUCAUGAGAUAAAGCCAAGAAUCCCCUUCCAAAAUAUAAGAUAGUAAGACAGGUGCCUAAAUUUACCUUCAGUACCACAGUAAGUGGUCUGAAAAAGUAUUACUGCUCACAGCUUGACUAAAAUAUCCUACAUAAAUCUUGAUUAUCCCCUUUAUGGUGAAGUUCAUGUGGGUCACUAUGAUUUUGGGGCUAGCAAUUAACUUUCCUUAUACUAUUCCCUGUAAUUAGAAUCAUAUCUGGAAACAGUGUUGCCAGGGUAAUUGCAAAGGCAUUUGUAGACGUUUUAAUAGGGACCACUGUGUAAAACUUUCCCCUGUUGCUGAUUUUGGCAUCCUGACCUAUGUUUUCUCAUGUUCUUUAUAAAAAGAGCUGUUCUAAAUGUUUUGCUGGCUGCCUUGCCUCCCUUUCCUGACCUCUUUCUUAUUAAAAGCUAUAGCAAGAAGUCAGUCGUUAAAAGUUGAUCUGUCUGUCUUGAUGAGACUCAGUUCUUAACACAAAUUUCCUAGGGUAUCUGCAUAAUAGUUAUAUAAGGUAUUAACCACCCAGAUAAACACUACCUAUGAGGAAUGAUGUGCAAUUGUGACUUAUUUUCUAUUUAGUAUCUGUGGUUUUAAUAGAUGUAAGAACAAACAGAUAUGGUGCAAUAGAGAAUGCAGUAAAUUGAGAAUAAAAUGUAUAUAUAUACUUCAAAUGCAUCUUGAUGAUGAAGUCUCAAACAGAGCUGUUCUCAAAAGGUAUCAGUAGCCAUCAUACGAACACACCAUUCCCCCUCCUCUCCCAUCAGUCCUAAACUUACUCCAGGGCAAUAGUGCUGACUUCCCAACUAAAGAAUAGGGCAUCCUACCAGCUAUCCAGAAAGACUUGUGAUUU